rnacentral:lncRNA from 1 species
GCGGAGGGAGGCUAGGGAAGCAGGGCCGUCGACGCGCGCUCCCAAGGUACGUCGUGCAAAUUCACUUGCUCGGAAAAGAAUCAAGAAUAGGGCGCGUGGCUACAAAUCUGCGUCGCGGGAACACAAAAUGGUCUGCUGUCUCUCGUUUUAGUUGACUCUGACAAGAUUGUGUGAUGUAUUUUUGGCAGGGAAAGAAAUAGCGCGCUAUAGCGCCGCUAAUAGCACGAUAUAGCGUUUUGAGCAAUGUCUCGCUAAAUAAAUCAGUAUACAAUGCCUUGCUAAUAGCACGCUAUAGCGAUUUAUAGCACACUAAUAGCAUAUUUUAAGAGCCACGCUAUUUUUUUCAAUGAUUUUUGGACGCCCCGCUUUGUCCGUUUUUACAGAUUACGGCAAGUGGUGCACUAGCACUUAAACAUGACUCCAGUGUUACUCGUAUACCUAAAAAUUUAGCAUGGCUCCAGUGUUAUGUACUCUCUUCGUCGUAUCUAGAAAUAUCUAAGGCAACUACUCCCUCCGUUCCUAAAUAUUUGUCUUUCUAGAGAUUUCAAGAAGUGACUACAUACGGAGCAAAAUGAGUGAAUCUACACUUUAAAACAUGUCUAUAUACAUCCAUAUGUGGUAGUCUAUUUGAAAUCAUUAAAAAGACAAAUAUUUAGGAACGGAGGGAGUAAUUUGUUAUGGAGGUAAUAUUAUUCAAUGUUCAGCAAGCAAAGGAAAUGGUGACAUUUAAGUUGCAACGAUUUUUCUGUUCUGAAAAGAUUUACACACAGUCGAGAAUAUCUGAAUUUUCAUUGUAUUCAUAUAUUGCUUCAGUUUAAACUGUCCCACAAUAUUACAUACUUUCACAUCUCCAAGAGAUAGAAUAACUCUUAAUCCUAAAUUUGCAGACCUAAUUAUGAGUUUAUGACUCAUACCUAGAGGAGAAAUUUAUUCACUGGAUAUGUUGCACAACAUGAAUAGCAACCGAAUAUGAUCUAAGUUGGCAAUAAACAGAUAUGUACAUUAGAGUAGUACUAGCCAAAAUACCUCGAUAGGACUAUCUGAUCAUACAGCACCCCUACACCAAAGAACACACUAAAGGCAAUUGCGAAGGCCACCUUGUAAUCAGUUUGUUUUGUUGACAGAAUAGUGGCCGGAGGUGCCUCCACUGAACCACAUUUGUGGAUGAGCAUUGAUCCACAGAGUUUUGUAUUCCCAUCAAAACUAGAAGUCUCAAAUGUGUUGAACUGGCCUCCAGAUGGAAUAGGACCUUCUAGAUCAUUGUCAGAAAUGUUAAAUGCAGCAAGGAAGUGCAGGCUGUUCAAUGCAGCUGGGAUUGCACCUAUGAGGUUGUUGCUGGAUAAGUCUAGCACCCGCAACUUUGUGAGGUUGCAAAUCGAUUGGGGGAUCUGUCCUGAUAACUUGUUGAAGCUGAAAUCAAGUACACCAAGCUUUUUUAACUGGUCAAUCAGUGGGGGAAUCACACCUGUGAAGUUGUUGUUGCUUAGAUUCAAUGCUUUUGGGAAAGAUGUAAACACACGGUAUUGAAGCGUCGGCCCAGAAUAAACAGGCAGGUUGAAGACCCAUGGAUCCAAAUGAUUUGAGUUGUCAGUUGAUUUUAGCACUGGCAUCUCCAUCAAGGCUAAUGGGAUUUCUCCUUUAAGGUUGUUGUUUGACACAUCUAUAUAGGAGAGAUGGUUUAGGGAAUUGAUCCAGCCUGGCAUUGGUCCGGUUAGUUGAUUGCUUCUUAAAAUUAACACCUCCAAAUUUGUGACCCUUGAUAUCCAUAGAGGUAUAUUUCCAGAUAAUUGGCAACCAUCCAUGUCCAAAACCUGAAGAUUCUCAAAGCCAUCAAUUCUGUCAUCCUGUGGCAUGAGCUCUCCUCUGAAGUUGUGCGCAAUAAGCAGGCUGCUAAGAUUCUUGCUGCUCUUAAGGAUCUGAAGUGCAUUUGUGAUGUUUGUGAAAUUGUUUCCACCAAGUGACAAGAAGGACAGAUACUUCAGAUUGCCUAUUCUCGAUGAGAGCUGCCCGUGUAAGUUGUUUCUAGAUAGCCGCAGCGCAGUCAGAUUACUGCACGAGUACAUGCUUUCUGGAACUGUACCAGUGAAGAAGUUGGACCAAAGAUCUAAAGUUUUCAGAUUGGGCAGGUUGGAGAAAUUGACAUUGAUAAGUUCUCCACUGAAUUUGUUGCUCCUGAGGCCAAUUCUUACAAGAUUUGUGCAGUUGCUCAGAGUCGAUGGCAGUUCCCCUGACAGGUUGUUGUAGUGCAAAUGGAACUCCUCCAAUCUCUUGAGCUGACCUAUAGAAUCUGGAAUCCUGCCAUUGAAGUUAUUCCAUCCAAGAUCAAGGGUACGGAGAUUUAUGAGGCUGAUUAUGCGUGCACUAUCAAUAACACCGUGUAAAUUAUUGUUAGGAAAAGAGAGGUAUUCCAAUGAGGUUGCAUUGAAGAGUUCAUCUGGGAGUGUUCCACUGAGAUUGUUGUAGCCGGCCUUGAUCACUCUCAGCAUGGAGCAUUCACCAAGCCCUGGGGGAAUGCUGCCACUAAAUUUGUUGAAACAGAGGUCAAGCACUGUGAAGUAUGGUGAGCUAUUGCAGAAAUAAGUUGGUAUCGCCCCAGUAAAGCUGUUAUUGCUGGCAUUGAGUGUUAUCAGGUUAUCCAUUGUCUUCCAUAUGGUGGAUGGAAAUGGUCCUGCAAGUAAGUUGCUCGAGAUAUUCAGUACCUGCAGAGGCCGGGCAGGGGUUGAAGAUGACAGUUCGUGCAGAGCUCCAGUCAGGCGGUUGAAACUGACGUCAAGGACAAUGAUGCUGCUGGAUGACACCAAUUCCAGUGGCAAGCUACCGGACAGUGAGUUGCGCGACAGGUUGAGACGUAACAGGCCAGUGAGGUUGCCAAGGAACGGCGAGAUGGACCCCUCGAGACCUCGAGAAGCCAGCUCAACAUCAGUGACCGUCCUAUUGGGGCUGCAGGUGAUCCCUUCCCACCUGCAGCAGUCUGUGUCGUUCCGCCAUGACACCAUGAGGCCGCCGUCUUGCGAGAGCCCAUCAAGGAGCUGGAUAAGGGAGCUCUUCCCUGCUCCGUGCAAGAGCUGGUGGGAGAAGCCAAGGUGACUAGUAGCACAACGGUCAAACCAAAGAAAGGUAUGGGAAACUGGUUCCUGUGUGAAUGACUAAGCGGCUGCAUGGUUUUCUUGAGAAACUAGCUUGGAAACUUAGCUUUGGUCUGCCAGGAUGAACUGCUAAUUUAUCUGAUGAAGAAAGAGCAAGAGUGGAAAGGAGCAACCUGCUCUGCUCUCCAUUUUGUUUGAUCCGGUCUCUGGUCGUUAGUUAUAAAAAGAAAAUUUGGGUCAAGGAUUAGCUGCUAUUGCUUGUCCUAUCUACUGUAGUUUAUUGGUAAGUCUGUCCAAGCAGGAAUUGCCGUGUUGAUACUUAAUCUGUCCGUUUUGCUUACUAGUUUUAUGUGAAGGGGUUGUUGCUGAACAAUGCGUGCAUCUUUUACACUUGAGUAACAUCAUGUAUAUAGGUUGGUUGUAUUUGGUUUGACUUCAACAGGUCUGAUUCUUCUUUUUACAACUUAUUGACAACGACUUCCCUUUUCUUAAUAAAAAUACACCCACUAGGUGCAACUGAAUCAGCAAGAAACUGAACUUAUGUACCAUGUUACCUAAUUGUGCAUAACAAACAAGUGGUGUCUACUGUUCUUUUUUCCCCCCAAGACUGAACAAAAAGCAAGCUCGUCUCAUUCUCACCCAUAGUCAAGAUUUCUUUCUUUCUAUAGAUGUAAUUUAAUAAUAAUCAGUCUCAUUUUUUAUUUUAAUCCAUAAUUAAGCUAUCCAUGCCAUGUGCACUUUAUUAUUUCUACGAAAUACUAAUCUUCUAUAGCAAAUGGGAAACGAUUCCUGGAAGUACAAGCCAAGCCACAACUCGUAGCCAACAGUUAUGUACUGCGUCAACAGAACCUCUAUAAGGCUAAUGAACACAGCUAAGGACCUCUUUGAUUCGUGGGAUUCUAGACUUGCAGGAACAGGAAAAAUUAAAACUGCAAUUUCAUGCCAGCUUGGAUCCUGUGAUUUCCCCUUACCUAUGUUUUCAUGUGGGCUUUCUUCCUAGUUGUUUCUGUCAUUGAUCAGUGGAGUGGUCAAUUUUUCUUUUAGGAACUGUCCUAGACAUUUGAGUGCUGUCAAACGAUCUUGUGCCAAAAGUUGUGAUUCUGUGAUUUUUUUGAAGUGUGGUAACUUGAUAUGCCAACCCAAAAGUUAUGGUUUUGUGAUAUUUAUUCUUACUAAUAGGGCUUUCAGAAAACGGCAGUCAUUGCCAUGCAAAUGAAAAAUACAUAAUGUGUUUUCCCUGCUAUUGAUCCCACUUAUCAUUAAUUUGAGAAUAUUUCUUCCCAGUUGUAGUCAAGUAGACCGGCCCAAGAGAAGAAAAAGAGGACUAGCCCUGGCGCAGAGGCUCCUCGGAGUUCGGAGUGCACUGCGUGCGCCGGUGGAAUGAUGCUAGGGAAGCACGGCUAUUGAGUUGUUGACGUGCGCUCCCAAGGUAUGUCAUGCAAUUAACUUGCUGUGAAAAGAAUGGGGUGUGCAGUUACAAGUUAUUUUUGCGAGUACUCUAAAGAUUGGGAUGCACUCCUCACAACAAUGUGCUCCAUUGUUGUACGAAAAAGGGUUUUCCCCCGCUUUAUAUUAUAAAGCAACAGCACCAAGCAUCCAACAAGUUAAGGUCGGUUCAAGUACAAGCAGGUCUCAAAUAAUCGCUGGGGGCACAGCAAAACAAGCCCCAAACAAAGAGAACAGGAUCUAAUCCGGCUCGGGAGGGGGUGGCGGUGGUGGUGGCGCUAACGCCGAGGCCGAAGAGCGGAGACCCGAGAUGAUGUUGUCGAUGACGUCCCGAUCACGCCGCUUGCUAAGCGCUCUCCAUAGUUGUAAGAAGCCACACAAUUUUUAGAUUGCGUCAGUCACACGGCAAGGGAUCACGCGUUCGAUGACUAAUUUAUUGUAGAUGCACCAAAGGGUCCAUGCAAGGGUACCCAUAGCCACCCAGAUGGGGGCACGUCUAGAGUUGGGGAGCCUAUGGAUCUCCCCAAACAAGUCCGGAAGGUUGUCAUGGCACCAAACGCCACCAACAACCUCCCGGAAGCAGCUCCAAAGGAACUGCGCCGCAGGGCACCGGAAGAAAAUGUGGUUGGAGUCUUCCGGUACAAUGCAAAUGGGACAGAGGCCGUCCCCGGGGCCAUUACGCUUACGCACCUCCGUGCCCGAAGGCAGACGUCCUCGGACCCAUUGCCAAAGGAAUAUGUGGAUUUUCAAGGGGAGCUUGAUCUCCCAUAUCACUGAGAGCUCAAUAGGCCCGGGAGUGGGCACAAUCGCCUGGUACAGGGACCUUGUCGAGAAUCUGCCAUUGGGCUCAAGGCGCCAGGUCAGGGAAUCGGGCUCUAGGGAGGGGGUGUGUAGGGCAAUACACUCGAGCAGCUCCUCCCAUUGUGCGUGUUCCACCGCCCCAAAGGUACGUCGGAAGGCAAUAGAGCCCAUGUCAGCCAAUGCCAUGCCCACCGUAAGUUGUGGGCGGGCGCAUAUAGAGAAUAAAGCGUAGAACCGCUCCGCAAAAGGUCUAGUUCCGAACCAUCUAUCCAGCUAGAAAAGGGUGCCGGAGCCAGUACCCACCUUAAUGGAGGUCCCAAUACGUAGGACCGGCAUCAGUUGGAUCACCGAUUGCCAAAAUUGGGACCCUCCAGAUCUAGAGGCGAACGCCAGAGGUUGCCCUCGCAGGUACUUCGCGCGGAUAAUCUCCAGCCACAGUCCACCUUCGCCGGUCUGAAUGCGCCAAAGCCAUUUGGAGAGGAGGGCAAUAUUCAUCCGCUUAGAUGAGAUGACCCCGAGGCCGCCCUGAUCCUUAGGCUUGCAAAUCUCAGACCACUUCAUGUGGUAUUUCUGUUUAUUGCCCUCUCCAACCCAGAAGAAUCUGGAGAGGAGUUUGGUGACCUCAUGAUGAAGGGAUUCAUGUAAACUAUAGAAUCCCAUAACGUACAUCAAGAGGCUAAUAAGGGAGGAGUUCAUUAGAACCACUCGAGCGGCCUUGGAAAGCCACCUCCCUUGCCAAGGCUCCAUCCGAGGUUGGAGCUUGGAAAUAAUUGGGCGGAAGUCUUUCUCCUGUAGACGUGUGUCACUAAUCGGCAUGCCGAGGUAAGCUGUGGGGAAGGAUCCCAGCCGACAGUUCAAGCGAUUGGCAAUUCGCUGGGCCUCCUCCUCAAAGUACCCAAGAACCAUCACCUCGCUUUUGGCGAAGUUAAUCGUGAGACCCGACAUCUCUUGAAAGCAGAGGAGGAGAAACUUGAGGUGCCGAAUAUCCUCGUCCGAGCCUUCCACCAUCAUGAUGGUGUCGUCCGCAUACUAGAGGUGGGUCAAACCUCCAUUGUUGUAGCAGCUGCAGUCUCUCGUUUUAACAAACUCUGAGAAGAUUUUGUGAUGGAUUUUGGCAUGUGCUGCUUCAUAUGUUGUGACAACUUAUGGUUAGUGGUGCACUGGUACUUACCAUACAUUUUAUUUUGUUCAUUACUUACCCGUGAACCUAAAACUUUAUAGCAUGGCUCCAUUGUUGUUGGUUCAGCAAGCAAAGGAAAUGGUGAACUUAAACUUACAGUGAUUUUUAUAUUAUGAUUACAUAUACUUGUACAUCUUCCAAUAUGAGUUAUAGAGAGCCCUGAAAAGAUCAGAGUAUCCAUUAUAUUAAUGCUGAUUCAGUUUAAACUGCCCCCACAUUAUUACAUAUACUUGUACAUCUCCUUGAAAUGGAAUCACUCUUAAUCCGAUAAUGUUUUGUAGCCGUAAUUAUGACUUGCACAUAGAUGACAAGCUUAUUUGCUGGACAUGUUGCUAAACCUGAAUAGCAACCUAACCUGAACGAAAUUGACCUAAACAUAUACGUAAACUGGAGUAGUACUAGCCAAAAUACCUAGAUAGGACUAUCUGAUCAUACAGCACCCCUACACCAAAGAACGCACUGAAGGCAAUCACAAAGGCCACCUUGUAAUCAGUUUGUUUUGUUGACAGAACAGUGACAGGAGGUGCUUCUGCUGAACCACAUCUAUGAAUGAGCAUAGAUCCACAGAGCUUUAUAUUCCCGUCAAAGCUAGAUGUCCCAAAUGUGUUAAACUGGCCUCCAGAUGGAAUAGCACCUUCUAGAUCAUUGUCAGAAACGUUAAACGCUGCAAGGAAGUGCAGGCUGUCCAAUGCAGCUGGGAUUGCACCAGUGGGAUUGUUGUUGGACAAGUCUAGGACCUGCAGGCUUGUGAGGUUGCAUGUUGAUUCUGGGAUCUGUCCUGUUAAGUUGUUUAAGCUCAAAUUGAGUGAAUGGAGGGUUUUCAAUUGACCGAUCGUCAAAGGGAUCUCACCAGUGAACUUAUUGUUGCUUAGAUCCAGCAAUUUAGGGAAAGCGAAAGGUUGGCGAUAUUGAUGCGAUAGAGUUGGAUAAACAGGCAGUAUGAAGACCCUUUGGUUCUAAUUGGCAUCCGUCUUUGCUGACUCUAGCAUUGGCAUAUCGGUCAAUGUUGUUGGAAUUUCCCCUGUGAGGCUGUUGUUUGAUAUGUCAAGGUAGAAGACAUAGCUUAGAGCUUUGAUCCAGGCUGGUAUCGAUCCUGUGAGUUGAUUGUUAGACAAUAUUAGUAUCUCUAAAUUUGCUAGCUUUGAUAUCCAGAAAGGUAUUUUUCCGAAUAAUGGGCAAUCAUUUAUACCAAGAAACCGAAUAUUUUCAAAACUGCCAAUGGUGUCAUCCUCUGGCAUGAUCUCAUGCCUGAAGUUACGCCCAAUAAGAAGGGUGCUGAGGUUCUUGGAGCUUCCAAGAAUCUGAAGUGCAUCUGUUAUGUUUGUAAGAUUAUUAUUAUAAAGUGACAGGAACGACAGGGACUUCAGAUUGCCGAGCCCUUUUGCUAACUGGCCGUGGAACUUAUUGGAAGAUAGUCGCAGUGCAAUUAGAUUUCUGCAAGAGUAUAUACUUUCUGGAAUUAUGCCAUCGAAGUUGUUCCGCAUAAGAUCUAAAGACAUUAGAUUGGGUAGGCUAGAAAAAUUGACCUUGGUGAGUUGUCCGCUGAAAUUGUUGCAGUUGAGGUUGAUGGUUAUGAGAUUUGUGCAGUUUGCUAGAGUUGAUGGCAGCUCCCCAUACAUAAUAUUACUGUUCAAAUAGAGUUCCUCCAAUCUCUUGAGAUGGCCUACCACUGAAGUUGUUCUCUCCAAGAUCAAGGGUAACCAAAAAAGUGAGCUUGGCGAUAUAUGUGUCUUGAUAUUCCUUGUAAACUAUUCCUGGGAAAAGAGAGGAACUCCAAAGAGGUAGCAUUAAAGAGUUCGUCUGGGAGAGUCCCGCUGAGGUUGUUGUGGCCAACCUUGAGCACUCUGAGCAUGGAGCAGCUACCUAAUUCAGGUGGAAUGCUCCCUCUGAAUCGGUUGUAAGAGAGCUCAAGUGUUAGAAUAAAUCCGAGACGCUCCGUCGAUCUAUCGAGGACCAAGCAAUCACACAAAGCAUGACACCGAGAUUUGUUAACGAGGUUCACCGAUAUGGCUACAUCCCCGGGGUAUGACUACGGGCGCUCCUCCCCAUGACACCGUCACAAUACCGCACCCCGGGCGCCGACACACGCCGCCGGCUCCUCCGCGUGCCCGUGCUAUUAUGUUGGCAUAGGUUACAUCGUGUGUCUAUCCCCGAUAUAUACCCUGUCUACACACAGUCCAAAACCAAGUCCAACUGUAACCUACCUUGUACAAUAAUAUUCGACACAACUCUAACAAACUCCACCUUGGCGAAUAUUCUUCACCAUCUUGAAUUCAUCCUCCAUGUACAUUGGACUUGAGGUACGCCAUGAGCACCGCUGCUACUCCCAGACUCCAUGUAACUCCACCUGCAACUGUAGUCACUUCUCGUCUUCCUCACAGUCAACGCUCGAGCAAAAAUUAAGUUCCUCAUUACUCAACUCUGUGCACCCAACUUCCGGAGUAUCCGUUCAAUGUCAUUACACACCGACCACUGUCUGCGUGAAAAAUGAACAACUCACAUACUGAACGCAACAUAUAAGAGUUACCUGAACUCAACGUCAUCCCUCUUUCUUGACCGUCUGUCUGAAACUUGAAGGAAUUUCACCAUCGCCCUGUGUCACCUUGAGUCAAAUUCACAGUUGUCUCACCCUUUUCCCGGAUAGUCUCUGGCAUGCCCCACAGCUAUAGCACUCCGCCUUCUUCUGUAUUGGUCAUCCGCACUUUGCCAUGUGCACUGAACACCACAGAAUAUACGACAAUGUACUCUCUCAGCUUUCGACAGUUUCAGACUUUCCGCCACUUUCUCAGAUUCUUCACGGUCAACUCCUGUCCAUCAACUAGCACCGAUAGACCCAGUCACCAACUUGAAUCUGGUACUCGUCAACACUGCUUCAGCACCCUUGCACAGUUUGUUUGACCACAUGUCCGACCACCAGUGCCUUGGCCUGUCGCCGUGUCCCGUGCUUACCGCACGCCUCGCCGCUAUCACCGCGUCGAGCCUCUGCUGUCCUGGUCGAAUCUCCCGGGUAGCUAGCCCCCACUGCCUCAACCCUCACUGCAGAGAACCAUCGAUCAUCACCGACUGAUGUCGAGUAUCACGUCUCCAUCAGACCACUGGUACCGACCACUGGCGACCCGCAAGACCGAUUUGGAACUGCCGUACGCUACGUGACACCACCAACUGGACACCACGAUCCAUCGCCGAGUCCUCUGGAAACAUGCCGCCGCGGCUUCGGAUCGAUCUGCUGCUCGAUCGAGCGAAUCGAUCUCGUCGACGCCAACUGCCGCUGUUCGCUCGCCCCACGCGUUGUUCGCUGCCCAUCGCAUCUCGUUGAGACGGCCUCGAGUUGCUGCACACCGCUGAUGACACCGCCUGCUGCCUCUGAUUGCUUCCGACCCGAACAGAACUCCCGCCGCUUCCAUUGCUGUCCAUCCUCUGGAUCAACGUACGUCAACCUCUUCGUAACCUUGCUCAUGAUACCACUUGUUAGAAUUAAUCCGAGGUACGCGGUCGAUCCACCGAGGAACAAGCAAUCACAUCACAUGAUGACUAGAUAGCGACAGGCUCGCACGGGGGUGCUGGCGGCUUGUGCCGGCACCCGGGUGGCCGGUGUUGCGGUAUCUCGGGGAGGAGCGCCCGUAGUCAUUGCUCCGGGGAGUAGGCGAGUUCGCCGAACCUCGUUAACAAAUCUCGGUGUCAUCAUGUGAUGUGAUUGCUUGUUCCUCGGUGGAUCGACCGCGUACCUCGGAUUAAUUCUAAACAUCAAGCACGAGCAAGGACGGAAAGCUGGUGCAGAAAUGAGUUGGUAGUUGCCCAGUAAAGCUGUUGUUGCUGGCGUUGAGUGCGACCAGGUCUUUCAUGGCCCCCCAUGUGGAGGAUGGAAACUGUCCUGUAAACAAAUUGCUGGAGAUGUUCAGUACCUUCAAGGGACACACUGGGGUUGAAGAUGGCACCCCAUGCAGUUCUCCGUCUAGGUGGUUGAAGCUGAUGUCGAUGGCGACGAUGCUGUCGGAAGACACCAAUUCUUGUGGUAGUCCACCGGACAGCAUGUUGUUUGACAGAUUGAGUCGCAACAAUCCGGCGAGGCUGCCAAGAGUAGGUGAGAUAUACCCCUGAAGACCCUUGGAAGCCAGCGAGACAUCAGAGUAACCGUCCCAUCCAUGUUGCAGGUGAUCCCUUCCCACGUGCAGCAAUCUGUGCCGUUCUGCCACAACACGGCAAGGCCACCAUCCUGUGAGAGCCCAGCGAGGAACUUGAGGAGGGAGGCCUUCUCUUGCUCUGUGCAGGAGCUAGUGAUAGAGGCCAAGGACAUGAGCAUCACGAGAGCAAUGCCAAGGGAACUUAUCGGUAGUUUUCUGUCGUAUCUCAUGCGUGAAAGCUGGAGUGGCUGCAUGGUUUUCUUAUGAAACUAGCAUAUGGACACCAGAUGCUUAUUCUUUAGCUGGUUGCGUCUACAGUAUUAUAGAGCGUGCUCCUCCUUGUUCUGUACUUGUUACUUGUAGCAAGUAGGUCGCCUUGCAAUGACUGAAUUGAUUGACUCCGCCACCCAAGUUGUGGUUGUAACUAAAUUCUACAUGGAGAUUUGUUUCCUAAUCCUAAUGAUACGGCACGUAACUCACAUGUUUUCCUGAAACAAAAGGAAACCAGAUGCUUAUGUUGUACCCUGACUUGGUACAGCGUAUCAGUGGUCUGGUCAAGGAACAUUCUGAGGGCAAGAAUGGACAUUUAUAGCUCAAGAAACCUGGUGCUCUGUUACAUGAUUUCGUAAGAUUUUGCAAGUUGUACUAAUGAAUCUACCAGCGUAAGAUUUUGCAUCACACUGAAAUUUUGCAUGUACACAGAGCAGCUUGUCUGUAGGAACCGUCCUGCAAGAAAGGAAGAGGCCAAGGAGAUGAUCUGCACAAGGGCAAGGCUAAGGGAAGGUAUGUGCAAGUGCAAUAUCAAAUUAAGGCUGGGUGUUAUGCCCCUUUUCGGAGAAAAAGGGAAGGUCUGUAAAAACUGGAGGGGCUGCAUAGUUUUCUUGUAAAACUAUCAUGACGCUUCUUCUUCAGAUGGUUGCUUCUAUCAACAAGGAGGCCCUCCUCGGACGCCCUUCUGGAGUUCUUUACCGACUACGGAGUAGUCACUUUUGCACUUAAUGGUGUGACAUGCAGCUUGCUUGUUGUGGAUAAAUAAGGGAUACCCCCUCUGAUGUGCCCUGACUAUGUAAUGCGUCAAAGGUCUAGUCAAGGAAGACUUCGGAGUCCGGUAGCAAAAAAGGGGCAUGUUUGUAGCCUCAUGGAUGCGGUGACCUGGUGUUCUUUGCCUCUUUUGUCAUGCCGGCGUUGCCUGGUGCGUACGUCUGCUGUUGUUUUCCGUUCCCUCGGCUUCAAGUAGUCAGGAUAGCGUACGAGGACUUGCAAUGGCAGGGUGGUUGAUUGCAACAGGCCGGAAUUCGGGCUGGUUGCUGGCCAGUUUAGUUGAACACAUAGCUGGUGUAAAGAGUUUGUAUUUCUUUUGGGGUAUUAGUUAUGUUUUAGAUGAUGCUGUUUUGACGCUCUGUUCCCAGCGUAGAGUGAUGAGCAAAAGAAUCACUGUACAUGUGGAUAAUAAUAUAGUUCUGGUUGAGAAAAAUAGCAAAAGUUUUUGUGAGACCAGUGAUAGAAUCCAGGUAUAAUGUAUUCUUUACUUUGCCUGGUAUAUUUGCCAGAUCUUGUCUUUAGAUGAUGCUGGUCUUAUAUUCAUCUUCGAUGGAGUGCUGCUUGAUCUUUAUAGAUGUAUGAUAUAAUCUUUA